UGAGCAACCUGCCCUUGACUCCGGAAUAACAGCUGGAAACAGCUGCUAAUACCGGAUACGACCUCCGAUGGCAUCAUCUGGAGGUGGAAAGCUCCGGCGGUCAAGGAUGGGCUCGCGGCCUAUCAGCUAGUUGGUGUGGGUAACGGCCCACCAAGGCGACGACGGGUAGCCGGCCUGAGAGGGUGACCGGCCACACUGGGACUGAGACACGGCCCAGACCCCUACGGGAGCA
rnacentral:rRNA from 1 species